rnacentral:misc_RNA from 1 species
ACAAGGGCAGUGGGAAUAAGAACAGUUGUGCCAAGCAUCACAAGGUAGUGUUGGAAACCAAGCAGGAUAGCCUCAGGCCACGGGGGAGGACUGGUAAUGCAAUAAGAAAUGUUUGGAAGCUGCUCCUUUGGCGGAUGUGGCUGUGGCUCCUCUGCCUUUGCUCCACCACCUCCUCCUCCACCUCCAGCCAUGAAUCUUCCUUCUCACUCUAAAAAAAUCUCUCUCUCUAUCUUGAGGUGACAAGAAACCAGAGGGAAAAGGCUCAAAAUGCAAGGACCCAAAGCCAAAAGAGUGAACUACCC